rnacentral:rRNA from 1 species
GUCGAACGCUGGCGGCGUGCUUAACACAUGCAAGUCGAACGGAAAGGCCCUGCUUUUGUGGGGUGCUCGAGUGGCGAACGGGUGAGUAACACGUGAGUAACCUGCCCUUGACUUUGGGAUAACUUCAGGAAACUGGGGCUAAUACCGGAUAGGAGCUCCUGCUGCAUGGUGGGGGUUGGAAAGUUUCGGCGGUUGGGGAUGGACUCGCGGCUUAUCAGCUUGUUGGUGGGGUAGUGGCUUACCAAGGCUUUGACGGGUAGCCGGCCUGAGAGGGUGACCGGCCACAUUGGGACUGAGAUACGGCCCAGACUCCUACGGGAGGCAGCAGUGGGGAAUAUUGCACAAUGGGCGGAAGCCUGAUGCAGCAACGCCGCGUGCGGGAUGACGGCCUUCGGGUUGUAAACCGCUUUCGCCUGUGACGAAGCGUGAGUGACGGUAAUGGGUAAAGAAGCACCGGCUAACUACGU